rnacentral:tRNA from 1 species
GCCAGUGUGGUGCAGUGGUUUGAGUGUUGGACUACGAUUCUGGAGCCCAGGGUUUGAUUCCCAGCACCACCA